AAUUUCUUUGUUAAUGAGAAAUCAUUGUAUGUAUUUAAAGGAUAAGAUUUCUUUGUUAAUGAGAAAUCAUUGUAUGUAUUUAAAGGAUGAAAUUUCUUUGUUAAUGAGAUUUUAUCAUUUGAUGUUAAAACCUGCCUUUUAUGGAACUGAUCAAACAGAAUAGUUAAUAUGAACAAAAAAAAUGAUAUCCUCACUGAAAAUGAAGAUAAAAUUAUGACAGUUUUUUUAGGUUUUAUUGGAUGUAGAGAAUGGUCACACUCAUCACUAUGUACAGCAUUCAACGGGAUAUCAUAUCAUUUAAUGGAAAACUUUGGCAAAACAUCAAGUAUAUUCUGACGUUUCAAUAAUCCAACUCCUGCCAUGUCUACCACACAAUACAUUUAAUUAUUGUGGUAAAUCCUACCUAUCUGGCCGUGCGGGGCCUGAACAUAACUUUAAAAUUCAUAUCCCCCAAGUGUUACAGAUAUAUACACCAUUUGAUAGCCUAUAUUUUGGUUUCAAUGUUUUGUUUAUUUCUACAUUGUGUUGUAAUUAUUUUACCAUAAGAUAUAACUAUAUAUUGCUGAUGUAAAACUGUUGAGGAAAACUUGCCCAAUCUUUAUUGCACUUGUAUCAUUAUGAAGUACAGGCAGGAGAAAAAAAAUAUUAAGGAAUUUUAGAUAAAACUAGAGAACCAAGAAAAAAAUAUCACAUGUGAAUUUUAUUAUAAGUGUAAUGCAAAUUUUGAAUGUAAAUUUUAAAAUUUUUAAUACAUGUAGAUAUUAAAUUAUAUGAUGAUUUAUUCGAGGAUUCUGAAAUCCAUAGACAUUCUUAAUUGUAGGUGUACAUGUACAUUAGACAUUCUUAAUUGUAGGUGUAUAUGUAAUAUACAUUAGACAUUCCUAAUUGUAGGUGUACAUGUCAUAUACAUUAGACAUUCCUAAUUGUAGGUGUACAUGUUAUAUACAUUAGACAUUCCUAAUUGUAGGUGUACGUGUACAUUAGACAUUCCUAAUUGUAGGUGUACAUGUUAUAUACAUUAGACAUUCCUAAUUGUAGGUGUACAUGUAAUAUACAUUAGACAUUCCUAAUUGUAGGUGUAUAUGUACAUUAGACAUUCCUAAUUGUAGGUGUACGUGUACAUUAGACAUUCCUAAUUGUAGGUGUACGUGUUCAUUAGACAUUCCUAAUUGUAGGUGUACAUGUAAUAUACAUUAGACAUUCCUAAUUGUAGGUGUACAUGUACAUUAGACAUUCCUAAUUGUAGGUGUAUAUGUACAUUAGACAUUCCUAAUUGUAGGUGUACAUGUACAUUAGACAUUCCUAAUUGUAGGUGUACAUGUAAUAUACAUUAGACAUUCCUAAUUGUAGGUGUACGUGUACAUUAGACAUUCCUAAUUGUAGGUGUACAUGUAAUAUACAUUAGACAUUCCUAAUUGUAGGUGUACAUGUAAUAUACAUUAGACAUUCCUAAUUGUAGGUGUACAUGUAAUAUACAUUAGACAUUCCUAAUUGUAGGUGUACAUGUACAUUAGACAUUCCUAAUUGUAGGUGUACGUGUACAUUAGACAUUCCUAAUUGUAGGUGUACGUGUACAUUAGACAUUCCUAAUUGUAGGUGUACGUGUACAUUAGACAUUCCUAAUUGUAGGUGUACAUGUAAUAUACAUUAGACAUUCCUAAUUGUAGGUGUACAUGUAAUAUACAUUAGACAUUCCUAAUUGUAGGUGUACAUGUACAUUAGACAUUCCUAAUUGUAGGUGUACAUGUAAUAUACAUUAGACAUUCCUAAUUGUAGGUGUACAUGUAAUAUACAUUAGACAUUCCUAAUUGUAGGUGUACGUGUACAUUAGACAUUCCUAAUUGUAGGUGUACAUGUAAUAUACAUUAGACAUUCCUAAUUGUAGGUGUACAUGUACAUUAGACAUUCCUAAUUGUAGGUGUACAUAUACAUUAGACAUUCCUAA